AUGCACAGUAUGGCGCAUCACAGGGAGCUGGAGGCAGUGAUGGGCAGGGAUUCGUGUCACGAAUGCCAUGCUUGUAAAGAGAGCUUUGCAGGUCUGAAUCUUUAUCAUCUGCACAUUUCUACUCCCGAUCACAAAGCCAGGAUGGUGAGCGUAAAGUCUAGAAAUGAAAAGCCCCCCUCUUUGUAUAAGGUCCUGGGCUCAGAGGUCAUGACCAAAGUCUGGGACAGAAACAAGAAACUGAAGAAAUGCAAGAAGAAAAAAAAGAAGAAAAAGAAGAAUAUAGAUCAGUUGGCAUCCAGGGGAAAAUAUAGGGGGGACUCAAAGGAUGCAGGCAACAAUAUGCUGAAAAGCAGAAAGAAAAGGGCAGAUAUCAACAAUGUACCAAGCAAAGAGAAUAACGUCUCCUGCAGACCAAACUGGCUGCCCUUCUACUGUCAAGCUCAGACCAGUCCAGCUGAACAGCUGAACAUUUUUGUAAACGUCGAGAACCCUAAAUCAGACCCACGUUACGCAAGACCAUGCACAAGCCAAGGAUAUCCCACCCACGCGCCGGGACAAACGUGGCUGGGCGUCGUCGAGCAGCACAGCCGCGACAAUGAGCGCUGCCAGGCUGCCGCCGACUUCACCAGCGAUCACCUCCCUCAGACCGGAGUCACCAUCUUCAACCAGCCUUUGGAAACUUCCAGUCAAAAACACCAGACUUCCAACUGUUUGGCUUCGUCGGCCUCUGUGGAGAUCAACGAGGUGCUGUGGCAGAUCAGAAGAGAGCUGGGGGUGAGGGAGCCGUGCCGAGGGGAACGCGAAGCCCGGAAACAGACCAGCCAGACGGCCGGGGCGAAGGCACCGCAGCUGGCAGGUGGCUCCCUCAGAACCGAAGGCGAGGAGGGCGCGCUUCACAUCGCCUCCACUGCUUAUGCGUCCAGGCCGUCCACAUCUGAUCCUUCCGGGAUUGCUCCUGCUGGAAGUUCGACAGCCUUCAAAGUGGGCCAAGGAGGACCCAGGACUCACGAGGGUGGCAUCUGCAACAGGGUCCGGAUCGCCCACAAGUCAAAACCGUGUUUGGAAGCGAAAGAAGCCCGUAGGUUGAGUCUGAAAGAAGUCACCAGUGUAAAGAGAAAGAGACCAGAGGAGGCCGAAAGCAUGACCAGGAUUGCAAACGAGCCUGAGCCGGACGAUGCCCCCCAACCCAGAGAGCCUCUUCUGUCAGAAGGCUUCCACUGGGAGUCCCUCCCAGACGGUCCUUCGUUUGCUCCUUUGGUGGGCUCGGCUCCUCCAGUGCAGGACGCCCCACGCAGCAAGUCGCCAACAGAACCACAGUCCAGUUGGCUGAAGACGGACGCUUUGGAAGAGCCAAGUCCCGGACAGGAAGACAACACAAGACAGUCAGUUGCUGUGGAGGUGGAGCCAAAGCCAGUGGAGGAAAAUGGAGCUGUGGCCGGACAAAGCGCUGCAAAAAAGAGGAAAACUACAGUUGUGUCGGCGAGUAAAAUACAGACGAACUAA
rnacentral:lncRNA from 1 species